GCGGGUACUCAGCUACCAUGCAGUCGACGAUGAUGCUGGUGCUUGCACUGGUGGAUUAGUGGCGAACGGGUGAGAAAUCGUGAGUAACCUGCCCCUGACUUCGGGAUAAGCCCGGGAAACUGGGUCUAAUACCGGAUAUGACUUCCUGCUGCAUGGCAGGGGGUGGAAAGAUUUAUCGGUUGGGGAUGGACUCGCGGCCUAUCAGCUUGUUGGUGAGGUAAUGGCUCACCAAGGCGACGACGGGUAGCCGGCCUGAGAGGGUGACCGGCCACACUGGGACUGAGACACGGCCCAGACUCCUACGGGAGGCAGCAGUGGGGAAUAUUGCACAAUGGGCGAAAGCCUGAUGCAGCGACGCCGCGUGAGGGAUGACGGCCUUCGGGUUGUAAACCUCUUUCAGUAGGGAAGAAGCCCCUUUUGGGGUGACGGUACUUGCAGAAGAAGCGCCGGCUAACUACGUGCCAGCAGCCGCGGUAAUACGUAGGGCGCAAGCGUUAUCCGGAAUUAUUGGGCGUAAAGAGCUCGUAGGCGGUUUGUCGCGUCUGCCGUGAAAGUCCGAGGCUCAACCUCGGAUCUGCGGUGGGUACGGGCAGACUAGAGUGAUGUAGGGGAGACUGGAAUUCCUGGUGUAGCGGUGAAAUGCGCAGAUAUCAGGAGGAACACCGAUGGCGAAGGCAGGUCUCUGGGCAUUUACUGACGCUGAGGAGCGAAAGCAUGGGGAGCGAACAGGAUUAGAUACCCUGGUAGUCCAUGCCGUAAACGUUGGGCACUAGGUGUGGGGGACAUUCCACGUUUUCCGCGCCGUAGCUAACGCAUUAAGUGCCCCGCCCU
rnacentral:rRNA from 1 species